GAUUGAAUGUUAUAAACGCUCGAUGCCGUAUUAUAAUAUAACAUCGCCUUCGUGACGAUCGUGAGAUUCUAGACGAAAGACAGACGACCAGCGAAGAAACUUCGAUCAAACAGUAUAAAAUAAUAUUAUACGGCAGUAUGUAAAUGCAAUACGCUAAUACGAAUUAUUACUAUAUGGUAUAUUAUUUCAAUUAUGAAGAAUCUCGAAACCGACGAUUGUGCACUACACUAAAAAUCUUCAAAAGAAAAAUCCGUACAGUAUAUGCACACAUUAACACCAUGCACGGUAUGUCGUAGAAUCUACGAGCUUGAUGUUACAAGAAUAUAGUGGUGUGUAUAGAUAUAUAAUAUACGUAUACUCGCGGUAGUUACAUAUACUUACAAAUAUAACGGCAAUGUGAACGUCUUGUCAUGUACGACCAUAACAAAUAGUGAUGGCUCUGUGGCUCCGUCAAAAAAAUUUUUAGAUCGCUCAAAUAUGUCCCAUUGCCAUCUUAUACAAAAAAUAGAACCAACACUGUGGCUAACCUGUGUCGAACCUCUAACAGUCAAGCACCUCCUUGUUUACUGUCAAAACCACAUAAAAACCAGAAGUCUCUAGGAAUUCCAGACAAUAUUUUUGAAACUCUGAGUCCAAUAAUUGACCACAAGUAUACCAUGAAUCGACUAGAAAGAUGCAUUACAGUCACGCAUUUUAAAGUGUAUACCGAUAUUCAGCAGCCAACAGAUACCAAUUACAACAUUAAAACAUUACAAUAUUACAACUUUUAUUUACAAACUACAGUAUAACGAGAGGAAUAAUUGUGGUAAAAACACCCGUAAAAGAUCAUACUGACCUUUUGGCUAAAUCGUCUUUGGGCAUUAGACUGUCUGGUUCAUGUUCGUCGGCCGAAUGUUCGUAAAUCAUUACAUACAUAUAAUAUAUUAUAUAUAUUAUCAAUUAUUAUAAUAUUAUCAAUAUACAGUAACAUACUAUUAGUACAGCAAUUUAGCGCGUCAUUAUUAAUUAACGUUGUGCUCUACAGGUUAGUUCAUGAUAACUCGUAACUUAUUCACCAUGGAAAGUGUUCUUGAAAACAAUUGUCUUGAACAUUUUAUUUAUAUGCAUAAUAUAGUCAAUUUAAAUAUUUAUUUUUAAAUAUAUUUGCAUAUUGAAAAUUUUCCUUCAAAGUAUAAUACAUUGUGUAAUGUCUAUAUAAUAUUACAGUUAGGAUAGUAAUAUAGUAUAAUAAAAUAUAAAUUAGGUAUAUACACGCGCUAGAUUACGAAAAUCUUUAAUAAUAUUUAUAAAUUUAAGGAUACGAUGAUAUGGCCGAUGAGUUUCAAUUGAUAAUAGGUACUACUAUUACUAUUUGCU